UUAAUUAUUCCUUCAUAUUCAAACUUCACAAACAGUGUGAACUUGUACAAUACCUCAGAAAGUGAAACUUACAAAAAAAGUGCUGGUAACAUUAAAAAAACCAAAAAACAAACAAACAAAAACAAAAAACAAAAACAAAAAAACAAACAUCAUUCUUAGCAACAUCAAUUACUCUUCCACACAAAACAGAAACCUUGUAAAAUUUAUUUCCGUAUUUUUAAGGCGUAAUACUUCCGUAUAAAGUAUAUGCAAGAGAUAAAACUUCACAGUAUUCCAAAAUGUCACAAUAAUAAUAAUAAUAAUAAUAUAGGAUAAUGAAGCGCUAGUUAAUUUUCUUUUUUUUCUUUUUUUUUUUUCUGUUUUAAAUAACAAAUACAAGUCACAGGUAAAUAUACGUGAGAAAAAUACGAGGCUAAUAUUAAAUGGCAGGUAAGGAUACUCUCACUGUAAGAAAAAACUGGCAGGAUGUGUGUAUUUAUUCUAUAUUUUAAAGCACUUGAUAGAAAAGGCGUAUGCAAGGGUUUUUUAAAACAAUUUUCUGUUUGCUUGUUUAAUAACUGACAUACCAUUUACAGAGUAUAAUAAAAGAAACAAAAGGAACUCAUAACCCCUCUAAACUUUUGACCUGCUCUUCAUAUCUUCACAAACUGUAUCUUUAGAGAUAUCUGUGUAGCGGUGUGUGUGAGUGUAUAACCCACACACAGCCACAACAAUGCACAUUGGUAGAGGCAAAGACCUGUCUCCUGAGAAGCAGCUUUGCCUGCUGGGGACCAAAUCAUGAAGUCUUUAUUCUGGCAUAACUGCCACUGAAAGCAGUGGGCGGGGAGACUGCCUGCCCAAAGACUGCAGGAUUUAGGCCUGAAUGCAGUUUCCCAUUCACUCAGCUUUGAAUGAUUGUUGGGAAUUCCUUUGUUCCCAAUAAGGAAAUGUCCCCUCCCUCAGCCAUUUAUGAAUUUUUAACUUCGUCUGCCAAAAAGGGCAGAGACAGGUUAAGAAAUUUCCCUCUAAAUUCAAACCAAUCCAACGAGGAACGGGAACAUAGAUGGAGCGUCACACACACACACACACACACACAAAGAUAUCACAGCGGGGUGUGCGUGCAUGUGGGUGCACAUAUAGCAUUUCACAGAAAGGCCUGUGUGCACUAGGUGCGCACACAGCCAUCCCUUCGCCCCUGCAUACGUGUACAUGUUAACAGCCAGCCAUUCAGCCAACAGGUAACAAAAAGACAGCAGAUAGCAUAACACAUCAAUAAGGUGCUCAAAGAAAAAAGGUGGCUACCACUCCUGGAAUGGGAAGCCACAUUAAGGUGCUUCAAAAAGUUUUUUUUUUCUAUUUUUGUUUUGUUUCAGACAUUAAAAAAGUACUGAUUUUGCAUGUGCUGAUUGAGAGCAAGGCCAAAAGUUUUGAGAUCUGACAUCUUCCAUAAAAAGGGCUUUUUCAGGACAGGGUUUGUUUUUGUGGGAGGAUCAUCUAUUUUAUGCAGAUUUAUGGUUAUA